rnacentral:rRNA from 1 species
CCUACGGGUGGCAGCAGUGGGGAAUAUUGCACAAUGGGGGAAACCCUGAUGCAGCGACGCCGCGUGAGUGAAGAAGUAUUUCGGUACGUAAAGCUCUAUCAGCAGGGAAGAAAAUGACGGUACCUGACUAAGAAGCCCCGGCUAACUACGUGCCAGCAGCCGCGGUAAUACGUAGGGGGCCAGCGUUAUCCGGAUGUACUGGGUGUAAAGGGAGCGUAGACGGCAGCGCAAGUCUGGAGUGAAAUCCCAUGGCUUAACCAUGGAACUGCUUUGGAAACUGGGCAGCUAGAGUGCAGGAGAGGUAAGCGGAAUUCCUAGUGUAGCGGUGAAAUGCGUAGAUAUUAGGAGGAACACCAGUGGCGAAGGCGGCUUACUGGACUGUAACUGACGUUGAGGCUCGAAAGCGUGGGGAGCAAACAGGAUUAGAUACCCGAGUAGUC